rnacentral:rRNA from 1 species
AACGAACGCUGGCGGCAUGCCUAACACAUGCAAGUCGAACGAUGCCUUCGGGCAUAGUGGCGCACGGGUGCGUAACGCGUGGGAAUCUGCCUUUCGGUUCGGAAUAACUCAGGGAAACUUGAGCUAAUACCGGAUAACGUCGCAAGACCAAGGAUUUAUCACCGAAAGAUGAGCCCGCGUAGGAUUAGCUAGUUGGUGAGGUAAAGGCUCACCAAGGCGACGAUCCUUAGCUGGUCUGAGAGGAUGAUCAGCCACACUGGGACUGAGACACGGCCCAGACUCCUACGGGAGGCAGCAGUGGGGAAUAUUGGACAAUGGGCGAAAGCCUGAUCCAGCAAUGCCGCGUGAGUGAUGAAGGCCUUAGGGUUGUAAAGCUCUUUUACCCGGGAAGAUAAUGACGGUACCGGGAGAAUAAGCCCCGGCUAACUCCGU